GACCCAUACUCAGAUAUGGAGUUAUGAACUCUGUAGGAUAGUAGAUCUGAUCUAUUAUCAAAUAGAUAUGAUCUAUUACUUACAUUCAUGCAUGCUGUUUUAUUUUCAGAUUUUAUAUGUCAUGUAUCAUAUCAUAAAUCUUAGAAUAGAUUGAUUUAAUGAUAUGUGCAUGUUAGAUUAAUAUGAUUAAUCUAGUUGUAUUCCAUUACAAUUUAUUUCAAAAAAUUUUUGAAAUAC
rnacentral:lncRNA from 1 species